GAGCCGGUGGUUCAGUGACAGAACGUUCGCCUGCCACGCGAGCGGCCCGAAUUCGACUCCCGGCCGACCCG
rnacentral:tRNA from 1 species